CGUGAGUGAAGAAGGCCUUUGGGUUGUAAAGCUCUUUCGUCGGGGAAGAAAAUGACUGUACCCGAAUAAGAAGGUCCGGCUAAUUUCAUGCCAGCACCCCCCG
rnacentral:rRNA from 1 species